rnacentral:tRNA from 1 species
GGGAAUGUGGCUUAGUGGUAGAGUGCUUGCCUAGCAUGCAUGAAGCCCUGGGUUCAAUUCCUCAGUGUCA